GAGGAAUAAGCAUCGGCUAACUCCGUGCCAGCAGCCGCGGUAAUACGGGGGAUGCAAGCGUUAUCCGGAAUCAUUGGGCGUAAAGCGCUUGUAGGUUGUUUAAUAAGUCUGUUGUUAAAGACUAGGGCUUAACCCUAGGAAAGCAAUGGAAACUACUAGACUAGAGUAUGAUAGGGGUAGAGGGAAUUUCUAGUGUAGCGGUGAAAUGCGUAGAUAUUAGGAAGAACACCGGUGGCGAAGGCGCUCUACUGGAUCAUUACUGACACUCAGAGGCGAAAGCUAGGGUAGCAAAAGGGAUUAGAUACCCCUGUAGUCCUAGCCGUAAACGAUGGAUACUAGAUGUUGCGUUUAUUAUGCAGUAUCGUAGCUAACGCGUUAAGUAUCCCGCCUGGGGAGUACGCUCGCAAGGGUGAAACUCAAAGGAAUUGACGGGGGCCCGCACAAGCGGUGGAGCAUGUGGUUUAAUUCGAUGCAACGCGAAGAACCUUACCAAGGCUUGACAUACUACAAAUUUCUUUGAGAAAAGAAAGUGCCUUCGGGAAUGUAGAUACAGGUGGUGCAUGGCUGUCGUCAGCUCGUGUCGUGAGAUGUUGGGUUAAGUCCCGCAACGAGCGCAACCCUUAUUUUUAGUUGCCAAUUUAUUGGGUUUUCUAGAAAGACUGCCGGUGACAAACCGGAGGAAGGUGAGGAUGACGUCAAGUCAGCAUGCCCCUUAUGUCUUGGGCUACACACGUGCUACAAUGGCUAAGACAAAGAGUCGCGAAUUCGCGAGAAUCAGCUAAUCUCAUAAACUUAGUCUAAGUUCAGAUUGUAGGCUGCAACUCGCCUACAUGAAG
rnacentral:rRNA from 1 species